UCCUAGCCCGGAUGGAAGCGGCAUCCUUUUGCAUUUGAAAUUAAAAGGAGAACAGCUGGUGGCUGUUAGGUAUUUUGGUUAACAAAAGCAUCAUUUUAAAUGCAAAAGAUAAAGCGGACGGCCGGAAUAGCU
rnacentral:sRNA from 1 species